UGCCAAAGGAGAUUAACAUUUGAGUCAGUGGACUGGGAGAGGCAGAACCACCCUCAAUCUGUGUGGGCACCAUCUAAUCAGCUGCCAGCUCGGCUACAAUAAAGCAGGCAGGAGAAGAUGGAAGAGCAGACUUGCUGAGUCUUCUGGCCUUCAUCUUUCUCCUGUGCUGGAUGCUUUCUGCCCUCAAACAUCAGACUCCGUGUUCUUCAGCUUUCGGACUCUUGGACUCAUGCCAGUGAUUUGCCCAAGGCUCUUGGGCCUUCGACAACAGACUGAAGGCUGCGCUGUCGGCUUCCCUACUUUUGAGAUUUUAGGACUUGGACUGGCUUUCUUGCUCCUCAGCUUGCAGACGGCCUAUUUUGGGACUUCGCUUGUGAUUGUAAUGUCAUACAACUGGAAUCAUAUAAAAUGCAGCCUAUUCAGACCAACUUCUUUCAGAAGUCGCAGAAGCAUAUUGCCAACUUGGAAGACACUUGCUAUUUCUGGAGUCAUGGCUUUAUAAUGCAACAUUUCCAAGUCUUGUUAAACCACUAGACUGGGGUUGUAUCAAUUAGAAUACUCUCCAUUCAUUCAGCAGCACUAUCUUCUUGAAACUCAAAAGUUGGAAACCAGAGACUAUACCAGCUGAGUUGAUUCUCUUCUAUGAUUGCAACAGUUCCUGGAGUUAUAGAAAGUUUUCCCAUGUAAAUAAAAAGAGAUUAGAGUACUUAGUUUCAAAACAAAUAUUAUAUACACCUGUUCUCUUAUACUUUCUUGUUACCCUUUCCUCACACCUUUUUAAAAUGAAUUAUUUAAUUUCAUUAAAUAGUGAAAUUUAGAGUAGGAAAGGGUUCUAAAAGUCAGUUACCUGACUUCUCUUUCAUCUCUUUAAUUCCCGUAACCUCAUGCCAAAUACUUCAUCUUCCAAGAUGGGUUUUGAUAUAUGAGAGAGGUUUGCUACCUCAAAGGCAGCCAUUUUUUUUUGUUGUUGUUGUUGUUUGUUUGUUUCUGUUUAUUUUUUUUGAGAUAGAGUCUUACUCUGUCUCCCAGGCUGGAGUGCAAUGACACGAUCUGGGCUCACUGCAACCUCCGCCUCCCAGCUAUAAGCAAUUCUCCUGCCUCAGCCUCCUGAGUAGGUGGGAUUACAGGCGCCCACCACUAAACCCAGCUAAUUUUUGUGUUUUUAGUAGAGAUGGGGUUUCACCAUGUUGACCAGGCUAGUCUUGAACUCCUGACCUCAGGUGAUCUGCCCGCCUCAGCCUCCCAAAGUGCUGGGAUUACAGGCAUGAGCCACCGUGACCAGCCAAAAGCAGCCAUCUUUUAAUAGCUUUGCCCUUUAGAAAGUUCUUUCUUAUGAUGAGACAAGAAUAUCUCUCUACAUAAUUGCUACAUAUUAAUUGGAAUUUCUAUUCUGGGGUCACAUAAAACAAGUCUAAUCCAGCAUUCCUGGUUUCUGUGUUUAGCACUAUGUCCCCACUGCCUAGACCAGUAAUUAUUUAGAUUGUGCUCAUAUAAUUUGGCUAAAACCUGCUCAUUUGGAUUUUGGAAGGCCCCAUAGUUCUACAAUGGAUAUUUAAUUCAACCAUUGCCUCAUCAAAUGGAUUUUUCUUCUGAAGCUAUCAAAAACACAUAACUGAAAACAAAUGUUAUAAAUGAAUUACUUAACUGGUAGUGUUUCUUUUAUCUAUUGUUGGAUAACAAAUCAAACCAAAAUGUAGUGGGUUGAAACAGAGGAGGUACUCAACAAAUACUUGGUUAGAGAGAGAGAUAACAAUUAUUGAAUGCUUACAAUAUGUUAAACAUUGUAUUAACUUCCUUAGACAUUGUACAUUAUCUCAUUUGAAGGCAUUUAUCAAAUUUUUGCCUCUCUCUGUAGAAUUGCCCCUAUUCCUCUUCAAGACUAAAUAUCCACAGAUCAUCCAAGAGUUUCACAAUGAGACCUGGUUGUUAUGGAGUGAAUUGUAUACUUACAAAAUUCAUAUGUUGAAAUCCUAACCCUUGUAUCUCAGAAUGUGACCAUAUCUGGAGAUAGUGUCUUUAUAAAGAUAGUCCUGUUCAAAUAAGGUAUUUGGGGUGGGCCCUAAUCCUUAUAAAAACAGAAAAUGUGGACAGAGGAGACAGAUGGCAAAAAGGUGAUGUGAAGAAACACAGGGAGAAGAUGGUCAUCUACAAGCCAAGGAAAGAGGACUAGAAAAGAUCCCUCCCUCAUCGCCUCAGAAGGAACCAACAUCUUGAUUUUGGACUUCCAG
rnacentral:lncRNA from 10 species